GCACCUACGUCAUAAAUAGUUUAUGAGCCGUGGCACUGCAUGUUUUAUACAACCGUAAAAUGUAUUCUUUUUUUUUUUGACUGCACCCACAGAAUGCGCAAGUUCCCGGGCCAGGGAUUGAACCCAAGCCAUAGCAGUGACAACACCGGAUCCUUAACCACCAGGCCACCAGGGAACUCCUAUAAAAUGUAUUCUUUAUAAAGUCAGCAUCUCUUACUUGAAAACGUUUUGAGGACCGCAAGUUAUGUUGUCAGAAUAAUUUCUACUCCUAACAAAAAUUAUUCUCAAAAGAAACCCAAAGAAAGUGACUCUAUAUUUCAUUGAGGAUUUGCCAUUUUAUUUUUGAACAUGCUGGUAGGGUGUGGCAGCAUAAAGAUUGCUGCAUCAGACACAAGAGGGGCUGCCUGUAGCUGGACAACCUACAAAGCCUCAUCCUCAUCCUCUGAGCCUCAGUUUCCCCAUAUUUCACAUGGGGUAGAGAGACUGGCAUGGCCAAUUCCAACACUAUUGAUUUGCAGCAGAAUCCCUUUCUCCAACUCACCUAAAAAGGGCAGAGUGGCCUUGCUGAUGGGGGUCAUGUGAAGUCCUGAGCUGGGACCCUCCCCACUCCUGCUUCCUCCCAGGCAGCCCUGGCUGGUCUGAACACCACAGGCUGCGUGGCGCGCUCAUUCCCUUUCCAGGCCGCAGAGUUUCUGUAUCAAUCAUGCAAAGUGCCGAGGGCAGCGUGGCUGCCUCCUAAACAUUCCCCAUCACCUCUGUCAAGUGCCUCCUAAUCCUGAAUCACCCUUGGAUCCACUCUCCCCACUUCUUUCUGCCUCCAGAAGCUCACCAGUCAAGAGCUUUCUCAAGACUCACCUUCCUUCAGAAAGCUCUGGCCUACACCUGAUGCAAUCCUAUCCCCAUCAUGCUUCCCCCAGGUGCCUUCUCCACCACGAAGUGCUUGCAUCACAGGGGCCUUGGUGUAGAAUCGACAAACCCCUGCUCAGAGAAGGGACAGGGGGCCAGCCACGCAUCCUGAGCUCCCAUCACUGGUCCCCUGCUCUGGACACUGGGGCCCAGAACCUCCCCCUGAUUUUUUUUUGUGGGGGCGUGUGUGCCUUUUCUAGGGCCGCACCGGCGGCAUAUGGAGGUUCCCAGGUCAGGGGUCUAUUUGGGGCUAUAGCCACCAGCCUACACCACAGCCACAGCAACUCGGGAUCUGAGCCACGUCUGUGACCUACACCAGAGCUCAUGGCAAUGCCAGAGCCUUAACCCACUGAGCGAGGCCAGGGAUCGAACCCGCAACCUCAUGGUUCCUUGUCGGAUUCGUUAACCACUGAGCCACGAGGGGAACUCCUGCCCCCUGAUUUUUGACUGCAGAGGCUCUCAAAGGUUUAGCAAAGGGCACCUUCAUCGCGUGAUAAGUCCUUUUACAAUGAGGAUACUUAGAUCAUCUUCCAAAAUAAAUAUGAAUACCUGUAACAGAGAAAGAGGCAGGCGGCUCUGCCUUCAUGGGUCAAAUCAUCAUUCUCAACAGUGGCCUUUUUAUCCCAUAAGUCAGCACAGUCUGUGAGGCUGCAUCUGUGACUCCUCACUGCAGGUGAAGUUAUAGAUUCACUUCACCUCAACGGAACUGAAAGAACAAAGGCACUCGUGUUCAAAGCAGUGACGCCAAACAAUCAUAAUACAGUCCUUUUGCAAAAGCCCUUGCUUGGUAUGGAUGAGAGACUGAAUACAGCCCAUGCAACCAAAUGCUCCCAAAAGAACAGACAUCUUUUAGGGAAUGAAAGGAGUCAGAGAAGAAAGGCACAAGUGGUGCAAAAGCUCCGUGCUGGAGAUGGUGGGCACGCUCCUGAAUUGACUUAUGUUUCAAAAAAGUACCUAAACCAAAUUUUAAGAUUUUUAAUCUAUGAGCAUCUGUUGCUCAACUGCUUUGGACAAGUCCAGGCACAACGAGGUGCCAGAUCAGGACCUGGUAAAAUGUGCCUGGAAAAGGUUCAGUGGGGCCACAGGAUUGUAUGGAUUUAAAGCUUGGUCCCUCGCUACCCAUUCUGGACAAAGAUGCUCUCCCAGUAAUUCAGGGAAUGACUGGACAUGUACAGACAUCUCCUUAAUUGUCAGAAAUACUUCUGGGGCUGGAUGCAGGGGCAUGGAGACUUAGCCUUGAGAGAAGCCUAUAAGUGGGCUGUGUCAACGAUUAUAAAACAUUCCUGUAAACUAUAGGGAGGGGACAUCUGAGGGAAGGGAAUAACAAUGACGAAAAUGAAAGAGUUUCCACUGUGGCUCAGCAUUAACAAAUUGGACUAGUAUCCAUGAAUAUGCAAGUUCAAUCUGUGGCCUCGCUCAGUGGAUUAAGGAUCCGGCGUUGGCAUAAGCUGUGGUGUAGGUCACAGAUGUGGUUCAAAUCUGACGUUGCUGUGGCUAUGGCAUAGGCCGGGGCUUUAGCUCUGAUUUGACCCCUAGCCUGGGAACUU
rnacentral:lncRNA from 1 species